UUGUCAAGCUCCCCCUUCCUGUCUGGUGGACAAUAC
rnacentral:scRNA from 1 species